rnacentral:rRNA from 1 species
GAUGAACGCUAGCUACAGGCUUAACACAUGCAAGUCGAGGGGAAACGAUAGAGAAAGCUUGCUUUUUCUAGGCGUCGACCGGCGCACGGGUGAGUAACGCGUAUCCAACCUGCCCACCACUUGGGGAUAACCUUGCGAAAGUAAGACUAAUACCCAAUGACGUCUCUAGAAGACAUCUGAAAGGGAUUAAAGAUUUAUCGGUGAUGGAUGGGGAUGCGUCUGAUUAGCUUGUUGGCGGGGUAACGGCCCACCAAGGCUACGAUCAGUAGGGGUUCUGAGAGGAAGGUCCCCCACAUUGGAACUGAGACACGGUCCAAACUCCUACGGGAGGCAGCAGUGAGGAAUAUUGGUCAAUGGGCGAAAGCCUGAACCAGCCAAGUAGCGUGAGGGAAGACUGCCCUACGGGUUGUAAACCUCUUUUGUUUGGGAAUAAAGUGCGGGACGUGUCCCGCAUUGCAGGUACCGCAUGAAUAAGGACCGGCUAAUUCCGUG